rnacentral:tRNA from 1 species
GCUUUCGUGCUGUAGUGGUCAGCACACUCGGCGUGUAUUCGAGAGGCCGUGGUUCGAGUCCCGGCGAAGGCA